AUUUUGCUCUCCAAUUAACUAUAGAAGACAUAUACGCAUACAGCAUCAAUUGAAAAAGCUUGAUAAGGAUUCUGAUAAAAAUAGGGAUCUUUUAGGGGCAUAUUGGGAUAAGCUCUCCGUAGAAGAGGCAAAGGAAGUUGUGUCAUUCAAGAAUGUGAUGUUGGAGGUAAUAUCUCUUUUGCUCCUUAUGUGACUAGUUUAUUUCUAUAUGAAGUUAUGUUGAUGUGAUUUGCCUUACUCAAGUACUGGUUAGGUCAAUAUGUUAGACUAUCAUUGGUAGAAAUGAAAGUGGGGGCAGUUAAGUACAUUAGCCUCUACAAUCCAU